GCCUUUGUAGUGUAAUGGUGAACACACUCAGCGCGUAUGCGAGAAAUCCGAGGUUCGAGUCCCGGCGAGGGCA
rnacentral:tRNA from 1 species